UUGGAGGGCAAGUCUGGUGCCAGCAGCCGCGGUAAUUCCAGCUCCAAUAGCGUAUAUUAAAGUUGUUGCAGUUAAAAGGCUCGUAGUUGAAUUUCGGGGUUAGUAGGUUGGUCAUGCCUCUGGUAUGUACUGGUCUCACUGAUUCCUCCUUCCUUAUGAACCGUAAUGCCAUUAAUUUGGUGUUGCGGGGAAUUUGGACUGUUACUUUGAAAAAAUUGAGUGUUUAAAGCAAGCUAACGCUUGAAUACAUUAGCAUGGAAUAUGAAAUAGGACG
rnacentral:rRNA from 1 species